AUUGAACGCUGGCGGCAGGCUUAACACAUGCAAGUCGAGCGGAGAGAGGUAACUUGCUACUGAUCUUAGCGGCGGACGGGUGAGUAUGCUUAGGAAUCUGCCUAUUAGUGGGGGACAACAUUUCGAAAGGAAUGCUAAUACCGCAUACGUCCUACGGGAGAAAGCAGGGGAUCUUCGGACCUUGCGCUAAUAGAUGAGCCUAAGUCGGACUAGCUAGUUGGUGGGGUAAAGGCCUACCAAGGCGACGAUCUGUAGCGGGUCUGAGAGGAUGAUCCGCCACACUGGGAGUGAGACACGGCCCAGACUCCUAAGGGAGGAAGCAGUGGGGAAUAUUUGACAAUGGGCGCAAGCCUGAUCCAGCCAUGCCGCGUGUGUGAAGAAGGCCUUAUGGUUGUAAAGCACUUUAAGCGAGGAGGAGGCUACUUUAGUUAAUACCUAGAGAUAGUGGACGUUACUCGCAGAAUAAGCACCGGCUAACUCUGUGCCAGCCGCCGCAGUAACAC
rnacentral:rRNA from 1 species